UACUAGAACCUGUAGGUAGAGAAACAAAGU
rnacentral:piRNA from 1 species